ACUCAUGUAAAACACUCUAUAUAUGCUAUAUUGAAACUUACAAAAGUAAAAUCUCCUUAGAAAGCAAAAUAAACAAAAACUUCCCUUCCAUACACUUGUAAUCUAAUCAUGGAGGCCAUAAAGGACUUAUUUUUCUAAUAUUCCAUGAUAUUAAGAACAUUAAUUCUGCAAUAUUUGCUUUCAUUUUCUCAGCACAAGUGGAAAACCCCAGUGACAUUGAUGCUAUCUCAGAACGUAUACCAAGGCAGGCCAAUAAUGAACAAUUCUCUGUGAAAUGUGGCACCACAAUGGGAACAUUCUUCAAAAAUAAAUGGAAUGGAGGAUCAUCAACCGAUGAGUGUAUCGAGUCCAACGGAACAUUCUAUACGGUCAUUGGAUUUGAAUCUCAUGGAGGAAGGGAGUCCUGGAAAUGCUGGAAAAGAAGCAUUACAUGUGAAGGUGUUAAACUAGAAGUCUUAGUACAGAAUGGGAUCUUGCAGCCUUUAUAGAAAAAAAUUGAAGUA